GACGAACGCUGGCGGCGUGCUUAACACAUGCAAGUCGAACGGUAAGGCCCUUCGGGUACGACGAGUGGCGAACGGGUGAGUAACACGUGGUGAUCUGCCCUGCACUUCGGGAUAAGCCUGGGAAACUGGGUCUAAUACCGGAUAGGACCAUGGACUUCACGGUUUGUGGUGGAAAGCUUUUGCGGUGUGGGAUGGGCCCGCGGCCUAUCAGCUUGUUGGUGGGGUAAUGGCCUACCCAAGGCGACGACGGGUAGCCGGCCUGAGAGGGUGUCCGGCCACACUGGGACUGAGAUACGGCCCAGACUCCUACGGGAGGCAGCAGUGGGGAAUAUUGCACAAUGGGCGCAAGCCUGAUGCAGCGACGCCGCG
rnacentral:rRNA from 1 species